ACCCACAGGCAAGGGGUGGGGGGGUGUCUGUCGGGGCAGCCAAUCACGCAGCCUGGUCAAGCGCAGGGAGAGAGUGGCAACUCACGCUUCCUUCGAUCUUUCCCAAAUGGCUUUUACCUGCCUUCGUGUUUUACCUUCACCUUUCUCGCGACGAGCGACCUCCACCUCUUCUGGGAGGGCGCGUGUGUUUGUGUGUGUAGUGACAACAAUCUCAGCACCCCGACUGGGGACAGGGGAUUGGAAGGGGUGGGGACUCCGUUCCUCCACAGCCCUGGAACUCUCCUGAAGGGCCCUCGAAAAAAAGGGGCGGGAGGAGCGCGUCUGACGCCGACUGAGGACUCGACCAAGAAGGGGGCGUCCGGGCCUGGGAGAGCGGCGCUGGCAGGGGCUGACGUGCAGCUCCUUCAGAGGGAUAGAGAGCACAAGUAGGCAGAAUGGCAGGCACAGGAGAGAAAGAGGGAUAAGAAGACUCUUCACCAAGCAGGGAGCCCAGCCACAGCUCAAUGCCAGGACUCUGGGAUCGUGACCCAAGCCGAAGGCAGACCCUUAACUGACUGAGCCACCCAGGCACCCCUUUGUUAAAGUUUUUAACAUAUAUUGUCAAAUGUCUUGUUUGAAAGGUGGUGGCAGUUUUUGUCACCUCUACCAGUAUAUAUGAAUGUCUAUUUCACUGCACCCUCAUCAAAUAUAUGUGUUACAACUGACAAAAUCAUUAAUGAGUUUUUUUUAAAGGUCUUUGUUUGUAAGAGACACGUGGAACUUUUCACUUUUUUAACUAGCAAUUCUGGCUGGUAUAAUAUUAACAUUGAGUAUUAAUUUAAGAACAAAUAAAAGGAACUUAUUCA
rnacentral:lncRNA from 1 species